GAUAUAUGAAUUUAUAUUGUUAAGCAAAAAUAUUUAAAAUAAAGUCAAGGUCGCAGGUUCGAGUCCUGCCGUAGUCACCA
rnacentral:tRNA from 1 species